AUCUAUAGCCAUACCAACCUGGAGGCACCUGGUAUCAUCUGGUCUCAGAAGCUAAGCAGGGUAGGGCCUGGUUAGUACUUGGAUGGGAGAGAGGCUAAGUUACCUGCCAAGGUCAUGACUAAGGUAGACU
rfam:Cavia porcellus supercont2_12 genomic scaffold, whole genome shotgun sequence.